AAAAAUCUUACUCUCUAUUUAUUAUGCUUUAACAAGAGAAAGAAAGAAAACAGAAAACAAAUCUCUUCUAUAGCAGACUUAACAAAAAUUUCAGCUGAGACUUAAACCGACUUUUUCAAGGAAAUGAAAUUAGGAGAACAAAAACACUUUGAAGUGGACUGCAUAUAUAUACUCAAAAAUAACAUACAACUUGAGUCAGUAAUGGUAAAGAAAACGAACGUACACAGACGGGUUUGGAUUUAGAUGAUGAAGAAUGCACUGAAAGCUUUGCAUUUGAGUUCUCUUUUUCGGGUGAGUAAGUUAGGGAACUGCAAGGCCGAUCAAUUUGAAAAAAGAAAAAAGAAAAAAACUAAAAUGUAAACGCAGCUUGAACUUGAUUUCUUUUGGUUUUUGGGGAGGGGACGGGGGGAGGGGAGGGAAUGUAUACGCAGCUUCAAACUUGGUUUCUUUUCGUUUUUUUCCCCGGGGGUGUGGAGGCCUGGAGGGAAUGUAAACGAACUAACGAAGCCUCAAUCCUCAUGCAGCUGUAUUUAUAUGAAGUGGGUACUGCUGACUGAUCCACGAAGGAAGACUUUUGAUGUCAUUGGUGUUUCUUUAUUUUUGACCUUUUAGCUAGAUGACAGAAGAAUGCCGAGUGCUACGGACACUCGCGAGUGUCUCAAUCGCGGCUCUCUAUAUAGACACGUGUCUAUCAAAAUGAAACCUUAUCAGAGAGACAGCCGCAAGUAUGACGAGACAAGCGCGAUCGUAAGGAUGGAAGCCGCAAGUAUGAAGAGACAGGCCCAAUCCACAACGAUCCAAGAGCAAUCAUUACCUGCAAACUCAACACAACACCUAAUUAACUUCAAACCCCACCAUAAAUCCACCAACAGUCACUAUUCGAAACAAAUCUACCUCAAAUGCGACGUCAAAUAAAAGGAAUAAAAAGGUUUCCUUAAAAGAGAGAGAGCUGCGAGUAUGAAGAGACAAGCACGGUCCACAACGAUCGAAGGCUGUGUGGUAUGUGUCUUGUAUAGAUUGAACAGAGCAAUCAUUACCUGCAAAACUGAACCAAACACUCAAUUAACAAACAAAUUUCAAUUUGAAACCCGACCUUAAAUCCACCAUUGGGCACUAUUCGACACAAAUCUACUUGAAAUCCGACAACAAAUAAAAGGAAAAAAAAUUCUAAAUCAACAUCGAAAUGAAACCUUUAUAAGAGAGAAAGCCGCAAGUACGAAGAGAUCUGAAGUCCUGUUGGUAUAUGUCUUGUAUAGAUUGACAGAGCAAUCAAAGGCCGUGUCGACCAGAGCAAUCGCAGAAUAGAAGAGAUAAGAGAGGAAAAAAGAAGGAAGAGGAGAGCUGCAGCAGCAAAUGAUCAGAGCAAUCAUUACCUGCAAAACUCAACACAACACCAAAUUAACAACCAACAUUUCAAUUUCAAACUUAACCUUAAAUUGAAACAAAUCUACUUGAAAAUAAAAGAAUAAGCAACUCCGAAUCAAAAUCGAAAUGAAACCUUUUAUAACAGAGACAGCCGCGAGUAUGAAGAGACAGGCACAAUCUGCAGCGAUCGAAGAGAAAUCACCACUACCUGCAAAACUCAACACAACGCCUGAUUAACAACAAACAUGCCAAUUUCAAACCCACCUUAAAUCCACCAACAGACACUAUAACUUGAAAUGCAAUAUCAAAUAAAAGGAACAAGUAGUCUAAAUCAAAAUCAAAACGAAACCUUAUAAAAGAGACAGCCGCAAGUCUGAAGAGACCAGCACGAUCCUAAAGGAUCAAAGCCGCAAGUAUGAACAGACCUGAUUAACAACAAACACCUGAUUACCUGCAAAACUCAACACAACACCUGAUUAUCAACAAACAUUUCAAUUUCAAACCCAAAACAAAUCUACUUGAAAAAAAAAAAAAAACAACUCCAAAUCAAAAUCGAAAUGAAACCUUAUUAGAAAGACAGCCGCAAGUAUGACGAGACAAGCACGAUCGUAAAGGAUGGGAGCCGCAAGUAUGAAGAGACAGGCCCAAUCCACAACGAUCCAAGAGCAAUCAUUACCUGCAAACUCAACACAACACCUAAUUAACUUCAAACCCCACCAUAAAUCCACCAACAGUCACUAUUUGAAACAAAUCUACCUCAAAUGCGACAUCAAAUAAAAGGAAUAAAAAGGUUUCCUUAAAAAAGAGUCCACAACGAUCGAAGGCUGUGUUGUAUGUGUCUUGUAUAGAUUGAACAGAGCAAUCAUUACCUGCAAAACUGAACCAAACACUCAAUUAACAAACAAAUUUCAAUUUGAAACCCGACCUUAAAUCCACCAUCGGGAACUAUUCGACACAAAUCUACUUGAAAUCCGACAACAAAUAAAAGGAAAAACAAGUCUAAAUCAACAUCGAAAUGAAACCUUUGUAAGAGAGAAAGCCGCAAGUAUGAAGAGAUCUGAAGUCCUGUUGGUAUAUGUCUUGUAUAGAUUGACAGAGCAAUCAAAGGCCGUGUCGACCAGAGCAAUCGAAGAGUAGAAGAGAUAAGAGAGGAAAAAAGAAGAAGAGGAGAGCUUCAGCAGCAAAUGAUCAGAGCAAUCAUUACCUGCAAAACUCAACACAACACCAAAUUAACAACCAACAUUUCAAUUUCAAACCCAACCUUAAAUUGAAACAAAUCUACUUGAAAAAUAAAGGAAAAAGCAACUCCAAAUCAAAAUCGAAAUGAAACCUUUUAAAACAGAGACAGCCGCGAGUAUGAAGAGACAGGCACAAUCCGCAGCGAUCGAAGAGAAAUCAUCACUACCUGCAAAACUCAACACAACGCCUGAUUAACAACAAACAUGCCAAUUUCAAACCCAACCUUAAAUCCACCAACAGACAGACACUAUAACUUGAAAUGCAAUAUCAAAUAAAAGGAAAAACAAGUCUAAGUCAACAUCGAAAUGAAACCUUUAUAAGAUAGAAAGCCGCAAGUACGAAGAGAGAAGCGCGAUCCUAAAAGAUCUGAAGUCGUGUUGUAUAUAUGUCUUGUAUAGAUUGACAGAGCAAUCAAAGCCCGUGUCGACCAGAGCGAUCGAAGAGGAGAAGAGAGAAGAGAGAAAAAGAGAAGAGGAGGAGAACUGCAGCAGCAAAUGAGCAAAGGGAGCUCA
rnacentral:lncRNA from 1 species